rnacentral:rRNA from 1 species
GAUGAACGCUGGCGGCGUGCUUAACACAUGCAAGUCGAACGGAAAGGCCCUGCUUUUGUGGGGCGCUCGAGUGGCGAACGGGUGAGUAACACGUGAGUAACCUGCCCUUGACUUUGGGGUAACGUCAGGAAACUUGGGCUAACAUCGGAUAGGAGCUCCUGCGGCAUGGUGGGGGAUGGAAAGCUUCGGCGGUUGGGGAUGGACUGGCUGGUUAUGAGCUUGGUGGUGGGGUAGUGGCUGACGAAGGGUUAGACGGGUAGCCGGCAUGAGAGGGGAACCAGCGACAAGACGCCUACGGGAGGCAGCAGUGUGGAACUGGAGGCAAUGGUGGGGAGUAUUACCCAGCAAGGCGGAGCGUGGGGCGAAGGCGUCGGGUUCGGGAAGACGGCCUUCGGGUUGUGAACCGCUUUGGCCUGAUACGAAGCGUGAGUGACGGUAAUGUGUAAAGAAGCACCGGCUAACUACGUG